rnacentral:lncRNA from 10 species
CUACACUCCCACUGGCACCCUGACAGUUUACAAAUGCCAAGGCAAUGCCAGGAAGUUACCCUAUAUUGUCUAAAAAGGGGAGGCAUGAAUAAUCCACCCCUUGUUUAGCAUGUAAUCAAGAAAUAACCAUAAAAGUGGGCAACCAGCAACCCUAGGGGCUGCUCUGUCUAUGGAGUAACCAUUCUUUUAUUCUUCUAUUUCCUUGAUAAAUUUGCUUUUACUUUGCGGACUCAACCCUGAAUUCUUUCUUGCGCGAGAUCCAAGAACCCUCUCUUGGGGUCUGGAUGGAGUCCCCUUUCAUGUAACACUAUGAAUCCAGUUAUGGCCAGCCUGGUAAAACUCCGCACCAUCCUACCAGCAAAAAUAUUUAGAAAAUUUAUAACAAAUAUUUGUAUUUAAUUUUAAAUAUUUACAAAACAUUCAAACUUGAAAAUAAUCUGUAUUUUACUUCAAAAUAAAUGUGCAAAUUUGUAAAACAGUAAAAUUCAUGACUGCUGCCCUGGCUGUGAUGAAGUAACUGCCACAGUAAACAAUGAGAAAACUGGACAAAACAAAGGAGAAACUGUUUUAGGAUAUCAGGCAACAGGAAGCAGAGGAUUGUGACCCAAAGAGAAGGGAAACAAAUGAGUAGGCACUAUUAUCCUCACUGAAACCGAGAGACCCAGCAGAUAAAGAACUUGUCUACGGCUAUGCAGCCAGGGAUGAAAACGAAUCAAGUGACUGAAAGAGAAGAAAGUUUCAGAUGACAGGAGUGACGUGCAAAGGUACAGACGCUUGAGGAAGCAUGGUAGGUAGAUUUGAGGCUGCAAGCUUCUUUCCUUCCUUCACAGGCACAUUUCUUGAAAGGUAAUAUCUACCCCCUGCCUUCAUUUUCGUUUCCUUAUUAGUUCAAGAAAUAUUUACUGAGCUCCUUGGUGACUACCCAGUCUUUCCUUGAUGACCUGAAAUUUGACCCUGUCCCUUCUAUUCAACUUGCCAACAACCUUUUUACUGCUGUAAUAAGAGGCCAUUUUUUUAUAAUACUCAUUUUCUUCUGAUUAUAAAAGUAAAUUCAGAUUGUGGUGAUGGUAUACAAUUCUGUAAAUCUGUUAAAAAUCAUUGAACUGGACACAAAACAAGAAUGUCUCCAAAUGUAAAUUAUACUUCAAUAAAGAUGGGUUUUUUUAAGUAAAUAAAUGCUCAUUGUAGAAAAACCAAGAAAUAGAAAGAAAUACAUAUGGUGACUAUCUCCUGUAAUCUAUCACCGCAUGUAGCUAGUGAUUUUUCGGUGCAAUGUUUUUGCACAUUACCUGGAUAUUUCUGAAGUCUUAAACCUGAUAUUUUCUUCUACUCAGCCCUGCCCAGCUUGUCAUUCUACCUUCCCUGCCUCGUGGGAAAGUAUAGAAAAAGCAAAGGAGGUUGGGCACAGUAGCUCACGACUGUAAUCCCAGUGCUUUGGGAGGACGAGGCAGGUGGAUCACCUGAGGUCAG